GAGUUUGAUCCUGGCUCAGAUUGAACGCUGGCGGCAUGCUUUACACAUGCAAGUCGAACGGUAACAGGGUGCUUGCACCGCUGACGAGUGGCGGACGGGUGAGUAAUAUAUCGGAACGUACCUGGUAAUGGGGGAUAACUAUCCGAAAGGAUAGCUAAUACCGCAUACGCCCCGAGGGGGAAAGUGGGGGACUCGCAAGAGCCUCACGUUAUCAGAGCGGCCGAUAUCAGAUUAGCUAGUUGGUGAGGUAAAGGCUCACCAAGGCAACGAUCUGUAGCGGGUCUUAGAGGACGAUCCGCCACACUGGAACUGAGACACGGUCCAGACUCCUACGGGAGGCAGCAGUGGGGAAUCUUGGACAAUGGGCGAAAGCCUGAUCCAGCAAUGCCGCGUGCGUGAAGAAGGCCUUCGGGUUGUAAAGCGCUUUUGUUCGGGAGGAAAUCCUAAGGGCUAAUAUCUCUUGGGGAUGACAGUACCGGAAGAAUAAGGACCGGCUAACUACGUGCCAGCAGCCGCGGUAAUACGUAGGGUCCAAGCGUUAAUCGGAAUUACCGGGCGUAAAGGGUGCGCAGGUGGUUUAUUAAGUGUGAUGUGAAAGCCCCGGGCUCAACCUGGGAAUUGCAUUGCAAACUGGUUAACUAGAGUAUGGCAGAGGGGGGUGGAAUUCCGCGUGUAGCAGUGAAAUGCGUAGAGAUGCGGAGGAACACCGAUGGCGAAGGCAACCCCCUGGGCUAAUACUGACACUCAUGCACGAAAGCGUGGGGAGCAAACAGGAUUAGAUACCCUGGUAGUCCACGCC
rnacentral:rRNA from 1 species